UUGGACAAUGGGCGCAAGCCUGAUCCAGCCAUGCCGCGUGCAGGAUGAAGGCCUUCGGGUUGUAAACUGCUUUUGUACGGAAAGAAAAGGUGACUGCUAAUAAAGGGCGCUAAUGACGGUACCGUAAGAAUAAGCACCGGCUAACUACGUGCCAGCAGCCGCGGGAAUACGUAGGGUGCGAGCGUUAAUCGGAAUUACUGGGCGUAAAGCGGGCGCAGGCGGUUUUGUAAGACAGAGGUGAAAUCCCCCGGCGCAACCUGGGAACUGACUUUGUGACUGAAAGGCUGGAGUGCGGCAGAGGGGGAUGGACUUCCGCGUGUAGCAGUGAAAUGCGUAGCUAUGCGGCGGAACAGCGAUGGCGAAGGCAAUCCCCUGGGCCUGAACUGACGCUCAUGCACUAAAGCGUGGGGAGCAAACA
rnacentral:rRNA from 1 species